rnacentral:rRNA from 1 species
AUACGUAGGUGGCAAGCGUUAUCCGGAUUUACUGGGUGUAAAGGGCGCGUAGGCGGGGGUGCAAGUCAGAUGUGAAAUCUAUGGGCUUAACUCAUAAACUGCAUUUGAAACUGUAUCUCUUGAGUGCUGGAGAGGUAGACGGAAUUCCUUGUGUAGCGGUGAAAUGCGUAGAUAUAAGGAAGAACACCAGUGGCGAAGGCGGUCUACUGGACAGUAACUGACGCUGAGGCGCGAAAGCGUGGGGAGCAAACAGGAUUAGAUACCCUGGUAGUCCACGCUGUAAACGAUGAAUACUAGGUGUGGGGGGACUGACCCCCUCCGUGCCGCAGUUAACACAAUAAGUAAUCCACCUGGGGAGUACGUCGGCAACGAUGAAACUUAAAGGAAUUGACGGGG